CGGCUCCGGAUGGAAAUCACGGAUGGGCGUAAAGAUCUUGGCGAACAUUUCUUCGCUAUUUGAUGAACGUCCAUAGACUCCUUAGCCAUUUGUCUGUCUUACGAAUAUUCUUCCAGAUUGUGACUUCGAUGUUAGGGCGAGUCUGCCUGAGCUCUGGCGUGUGAACUGCAGUAUUGAUUGCCUGAACUGGUACAGGCACCGCAUGCAAGCACUCUUUCCAGCCUUCCUCCCAUCGGCUGUGGCGCAUAUUCACCGGCUCGCCUCAAUAUAGCAAAACGCCCAACCUUACGAGAUUAUUGGAUACAGGUGCAUGCACGUUUCCAGAUGAGCUUUCUUUUUGGAGGUGCGCCUGUGCAGCCAGAAA
rnacentral:lncRNA from 1 species